GAUAAAGAGAAGAUAGAAAAAGAUAAAGUACAAGAAAGAGAAAAGGAAAAGGAAAAGCAGCCGGAGGAACUCAAAGAUAAGGACAUAACAAAGGUUCAAGAAGCCAAAGUAGAGGACAUGCUGGAUGAAGAUGGAGCCUGUGGAGGGCCUGAGCCGAUGGAUCUUACCCCUUGCUCUCUACCUGUAAAUCGUGAGAUUCUCAGUUCUGAUGUAACCAUUUUGGAGGGACACAGCUCUGAGG
rnacentral:misc_RNA from 1 species